rnacentral:rRNA from 1 species
CUAUGGAGCUUUAGACGUCAGAGCAGCCCAUGUAAAGCACCCCUUAACAAAGGAAAAAACCAAAUGAAGCCUGCCCUAAUGUCUUUGGUUGGGGCGACCGCGGGGAAAUACAAAACCCCCAUGUGGAGUAGGAAUACACAUUCCUAAACCCAAGAGCUCCCGCUCUAAUGAACAGAAAUUCUGACCAAUAAGAUCCGGCACACGCCGAUCAACGGACCGAGUUACCCUAG